GCGGUGGGUGGGCCUGGGCAUGAAUGCAGCAGGGGUUCGUGUGGCAGAGCGGGGAGGGCUGCGUCCCUGAUUGUUAACACGGAAAGGAGAUGGGAGAAGGAAGCAGAGGCGUGUCCCUGUUCAACAUGUUCAAAGUACCCUCUGGCUGUUUGAAUCCAUGAUGUGCAAUCAGAACAAUUAACUUCUCUACCACCUCUGUCCUGCGCUGCCUCGGGUCCCUUUCUGUGGAUUGCUCUUUCCCCUCGUUGUAAAGUACCACUUCUUCCUACUUCUUUGGCAGGUGGAGGGAAGGUACGUGGGAACCGUCUGAUCCUUCGGGUUGCAGCUUCCGGGCUUUGAUUGGGCUUCCUGCGUCAGCACUGAGAGUGGGCUUGGUAUUUCCCCAGUGCUCCAUGGGAUGGGACAGACUCCCACGGCUCUCCUUGUUCCCAGGGGUCCUGUCUGACCUGACGCUGCGGGAGUUGGGCCCAGGACUGGUGAAGCCCUCGCAGACCCUCUCCCUCACCUGCACUGUCUCCGGGGACCCUGUCACCAGCAGUUACUACUGGAAUCGGAUCCGUCAGCGUCCUGAGAAAGGCCCAAGACUGAACCAUCUGGACGGGGAGAGGGCACCUGUGCAGAAGACACGAGGAAGGUGGGGGCCCCAGAGCUGUCUCAACUUCCUCCUCAGACCUGGAUCCUGGGGCUCCUUCCCUGGUGCAGCUGCCAGCUAGACAAUUAGCCCCAUCUCUCUCCAUGGCCAGUGAGAUUUGACUCAGUGCUUUCUGUGUGAAUGAAACUUGCUAAUUUGUCAGAAGACAGCAUCAGCUCUUCACUCUGUGGGAUCCUUGGAUCUGUGCAGGAGUUGGGCUACUUAAUGCCCCUUCUCUAGAUUGCAUACGAAUAACCUAAUGCCCUCGAGGAUAAAA